ACCUGCUUCAUUCACAGAAAAGCUGUCUCGCUCGCUAGCCCUUUCAUUCACACAAACGGCAUUUCAUUCACAUUUUGCUGUUUUUGUCUGCUUCUAAUGAAGAUCACGGUUUGAGAAUGAUAGGGCAUUUUUGCUUUAGAUUUUGGGGGUGGGGACUUUGAUAAUCAUCCCAACCAUAUAUGGGGUGUGCAUUUGCUGUUGCUAUGCAAGCAAAGGGAAGGGAAAAGAUGAGAGCCGUGCGCCUGCCCUGCUAGGCCUGCGGCCCUGGGCCUUGAGCCGCUGCCUCCCUGCACUCCUGUGUCCAGUAGCCGGCUCGCCAUGAGUGGCCCUGAUUACAGCUGCUCCACAGAGCUCUUCAAGGCUGGGUGCCUCAUGUGUCACAUGUCUAGUCGUGGGUGUGAGAAGACUCAGGGUGACCUGAUACCGUGCUAGAGGGCUGCAAGCUGCAACUGAAGAGACAUUGAUAUGUUAUUUGUAGCGUUUCUUAGGCAUUUUUCCAGAGCUUGAACACAUUCAGUUGGAAGAAAGCUUCAAGCCCCUUUUUUGGAAUGAAUUUCUGGAGCCUGUUGCCAUUCACCAAAGCACUUUUUUUCUGUUCUUUUCUUUCUUUCUUUCUUUCUUUUUUUUUGAAGUAGGUUUUUAACCCUGGCUGAGAAAGACUGCUGUAAAUUAGCAGGGGAGAGACCCUAACCUGGCUCUGUGCAUUAGUACAUAUGCAGAUUUUUUUGUUUGUUUGUUUGGAAGAACUGCAUUGCCACAAAGACACUUGUCAUGGCCGCUCUGUAGAUUUGAAAAGAAGAAAGAAAAACCCAGAAAACUGGUAUUUUAUGUUCACCUGGGAUUGACUAUUUCUCUCUCUCUGUCUCUUGCUAUUUAACAAUUCCUGCUUGUUUUCCAAACCAGAAUUCACGAAGAUCCACUGAAGAUCAUAUUCUUAGAAAGACUUCGUCACAUUUUAACGCAUCGCUGUCAGACACUUACAGGCUCACACAGAUGGGCUGAUGAGGAAGAGAAAAGCCUAGCAAGGAAUAAUGGGUUUCAGAAAGUUCAUCUGAUCAUCUGAAGAAACUGGAUUUACUUCUGGCACAAAUACUGAGUGGGGGGAUGGGGAGGUGAAAAAUCAAGGUUGGAAGGAAAUAUCUGGGAAGGAAGUGAUUUGCAGUGCUCACCGAGCCUUUGUUGAAAGGGUCUCCUCUCGGAGUGAGUCAUGCUUUUGCUGUGAGCAGCCCCAAGCAGCUGGGCGCUCAUCAGAGGAAACUAUGACUUUUGCAAAGCGAGCGUGCCGCCCUCAGCAGCCGCGUCCGGGGCCGGGGCUGAGCGGCCGCGGCGGCGCGGGGUGUUAGCGGUGGGAAGUCGGCGCCUCGGUCUGCGCCCCAGACCCCGCCGCCGUCCCGGCCGCUGCGUCCGCCUCG